rnacentral:rRNA from 1 species
GACGAACGCUGGCGGCGUGCUUAACACAUGCAAGUCGAGCGGAAAGGCCCUUUCGGGGGUACUCGAGCGGCGAACGGGUGAGUAACACGUGAGUAAUCUGCCCUUGGCUUUGGGAUAACCACCGGAAACGGUGGCUAAUACCGGAUAUGACGGGCUCCGGCAUCGGGGUUCGUGGAAAGUUUUUUCGGCCAGGGAUGUGCUCGCGGCCUAUCAGCUUGUUGGUGGGGUAAUGGCUACCAAGGCUUCGACGGGUAGCCGGCCUGAGAGGGUGACCGGCCACACUGGGACUGAGACACGGCCCAGACUCCUACGGGAGGCAGCAGUGGGGAAUAUUGGACAAUGGGCGGAAGCCUGAUCCAGCAACGCCGCGUGAGGGAUGACGGCCUUCGGGUUGUAAACCGUCUUUCA